rnacentral:rRNA from 1 species
UACGUAGGGGGCUAGCGUUGUCCGGAUUUAUUGGGCGUAAAGAGCGUGUAGGCGGCCAGGUAGGUCUGCUGUGAAAACUCGAGGCUUAACCUCGAGACGUCGGCGGAAACCAUCUGGCUAGAGUCCGGAAGAGGAGAGUGGAAUUCCUGGUGUAGCGGUGAAAUGCGUAGAUAUCUGGAGGAAUACCGGUGGCGAAGGCGGCAUCCUGGACCGGCAUUGACGCUGAGGAGCGAAAGCCAGGGGAGCAAACGGG